UCCUGGCUCAGGAUGAACGCUGGCGGCGUGCUUAACACAUGCAAGUCGAACGAUGAAGCCCAGCUUGCUGGGUGGAUUAGUGGCGAACGGGUGAGUAACACGUGAGUAACCUGCCCUUAACUCUGGGAUAAGCCUGGGAAACUGGGUCUAAUACCGGAUAGGAGCGUCCACCGCAUGGUGGGUGUUGGAAAGAUUUAUCGGUUUUGGAUGGACUCGCGGCCUAUCAGCUUGUUGGUGAGGUAAUGGCUCACCAAGGCGACGACGGGUAGCCGGCCUGAGAGGGUGACCGGCCACACUGGGACUGAGACACGGCCCAGACUCCUACGGGAGGCAGCAGUGGGGAAUAUUGCACAAUGGGCGCAAGCCUGAUGCAGCGACGCCGCGUGAGGGAUGACGGCCUUCGGGUUGUAAACCUCUUUCAGUAGGGAAGAAGCGAAAGUGACGGUACCUGCAGAAGAAGCACCGGCUAACUACGUGCCAGCAGCCGCGGUAAUACGUAGGGUGCGAGCGUUAUCCGGAAUUAUUGGGCGUAAAGAGCUCGUAGGCGGUUUGUCGCGUCUGUCGUGAAAGUCCGGGGCUUAACCCCGGAUCUGCGGUGGGUACGGGCAGACUAGAGUGCAGUAGGGGAGACUGGAAUUCCUGGUGUAGCGGUGGAAUGCGCAGAUAUCAGGAGGAACACCGAUGGCGAAGGCAGGUCUCUGGGCUGUAACUGACGCUGAGGAGCGAAAGCAUGGGGAGCGAACAGGAUUAGAUACCCUGGUAGUCCAUGCCGUAAACGUUGGGCACUAGGUGUGGGGACCAUUCCACGGUUUCCGCGCCGCAGCUAACGC
rnacentral:rRNA from 1 species